AGAGGUAUCUGCCCAGGUUCACGUGCAUUAGACACGGCACGGCCUUCACGUGCGCUGCGUAAAGUGUUGGGAGGACCCUCUUCUUACAGUCCAGCACUUCCUCUUCAUAAAACCAGGCGAGCGAGGGCACUCCUCCACCUGCUGUGCCUGAGUCAGAGCAUGACAAACGGUUCACAAACCGCAGUGUUUAUGACGUGACUCGUGACAGCGCCUUGUCAGAGCGGCAGCGCCCAGCACGUCAGUCACCUAACACUGGCGACUGACGCAGGAAGCCAAGCGGGGAAAACACCCUGCCGCCGCAGGGCACGCUCAAAGCCUGGUGACACUUGUGUCCGCCGAGGAUUCAGAACUCUCCUGGUGUCAUGUCGCCAAAACUAGGCAGAGAAACGAAGAGAGGUUUAAACCCAGACCCAAGUUGGCACGUAAUGACCAUCAUUUCCAUCUCACAGGCCUCAUAAAUCACCUUCGGUGUUACUGCACAAGCACAAGCACGGCCCGUCGGCCUCCACACCACUGACCCAUCAGUCAAGGCUACGGAAAUCACCUUCAUUCACUCUCAACCCGGGUUUCAAUGUGGGGCCUGGGGACAAACCAUGCAGCUGGCAAGUCCAAAUUUACAAAAUGAUCCAAAAGUGGGUUUUCUAAAUCCAACAUUUUACCAGAAGAUAAAGAAUAAAUUGAUCUUAAGAAAAAAGAAAGUAUUACAACAGGAAGAACAUACAGGGAGAUUAGUCAUAAAAAUUAAUGGAGAGGUUCAGAAAUAACGAGUUUUCUUCAGUACGCUGUAACAAGAUGGUACGUAUAGACGCCGCUCACUUCUUAGCUUUCUCACAUUCAUGGAGCGCUGGUAAUGUCCUUCUCUACCACUCAUUUCAUCUUUACUGUGGGAUCCCCACCUACUCUGUGCACGACUUUCCAGUUACCCUAGUUUCCCCACCAAGAUGCACUCCUAUCCCCUUCCCAACACAGGAUUCUCAGUAUGUUCCCUUAGGUCAACAGGACUCCCUAACUUAGGCCGCGUCACGCGGGCACCGCCAAGUAACAGGCACCUUGGAGCAUCCAGGGUAUGGAUACAAUUUUUUCAAAACCCCCCAAUGGAUCUCCAUGUUACUUAGGGUGAAAGCCAAAACCUUUACAAAGACCCCCGGACCUCAUCUGUCACCCCAUCCCUUUAUUGGACCCUCUCUGGCCACACCGAUCCUCUGUCCUUGCCAUUACGAGGACACACCAGGUCCUCUCCGGUCUGAGGACCGCUGUCCACACUGUUCCUUCUGCCCAGACACGCUCUCCUUCGAUCUCUGCUUGGCUGGUUCUCUCACUUCCUUCCAAGUCUUUGCUCAGCGUUUCCCUUCUCAACCCUGAAGAGAGUAUUUGUAUGAGAUAUAGUAAUGGAAAAUGUGUUUGGAGGAAAAAAAUGGAAACACAAAUUAUAUACAAGACAGUAAUUUAAUAAAUGUAGAAUGGUGACAACAUCAACACUGCAGAGAAGUCACCUCCUAUCAAACAGAGAGAAUUUCAGUAAGAUUCUCCACUAUAGAUAAAAAGCACCAGGCAUGAAACAGUGUUUGGCAUAAAUAUUCCCAGUAUCCCGAGAUCAAAAUUAGGAGAAAAAUCAGCAGCACAAAGGAUGUACUCAGUACUACAAAGGAGGUGAGACAACUUCUCCACAAAUCUGAACUGUCGCCGGGUUUUUCAUGCUCCUGACAGUCACGACUUAAAUCCACACGCAACAGAAAUAAAUGUGCACACAACUGGGGCCACACGAUGGAGGAGGGGCAACAAAUACUGUGAAGGGAAGACGAAGGAGGUGAGUGAGAGCUGAGGGAGGCAGGAGAGAACCAGAAAUGAGCAAAUUAAACUUAGGAAAAUUGUGGCUGAAUGUCAGGAAUGAACAUCCUAAGAUAUGAGAUUUUACUAUGAAAAAUGUCAAGCACAGAAUACCACUACCUGAAUAAUUUAAAGAUACUGAAUUGAGCAUAAAUGUUGUAAGUCAGAGGUGGAUGCACAGUGCCUAUUCCGCAAACGGCUAUUUCAGUGAGAUGGAACAUGGCUACCAUUCCAAAGUUCUCUCAGAACUUACUUAUUUUAAAUAAUUAAAAGAGUAUGGCAUUAUCCUUAUCACAAAACUAUUCUGACCAUACCAUCCUGAGUAAAAGACUGCCUGAGCAGUGUCAAGGCAGAUUAUUUAAAACAUUAUCUUCAUGAAAACUACUUAAAUUCAUCUUUUAAAAACUUCCAUGACUGCUUAAGAUGCUUACUGAAAAAUACCAGAAAUAAAGUUUUAUACUAACAUAUUUCAA